AGUGAACGCUGGCGGUAUGCCUAACACAUGCAAGUCGAACGGCAGCACAGGAAGAGCUUGCUCUUACGGGUGGCGAGGGGCGGACGGGUGAGGAAUACAUCGCAAUCUACUUUUUCGUGGGUGAUAACGGAGGGCAACUUACGCUAAUACCGCAUACGAUCUACGGGUGAGAGCAGUGGAGCUUGGGACCUUGGGCGAUUGAAUGAGCCGAUGCCGGAUUAGCUAGUUGGCGGGGUAAAGGCCCACCAAGGCGACGAUCCGUAGCUGGUCUGAGAGGAUGAUCAGCCACACUGGAACUGAGACACGGUCCAGACUCCUACGGGAGGCAGCAGUGGGGAAUCUUCGGCAAUGGGCGAAAGCCUGACCGAGCAAUGCCGCGUGGGUGAAGAAGGCCUUCGGAUCGUAAAGCUCUUUUGUUGGGAAAGAACAGCUGCAGGUUAAUACAUCGACGUCUUGACGGUACCCAAUGAGAAAGCCACGGCUAACUUCGUG
rnacentral:rRNA from 1 species